rnacentral:rRNA from 1 species
CGAGGCCUACGGGAGGCAGCAGUGAGGAAUAUUGGUCAAUGGGCGGUAGCCUGAACCAGCCAAGUAGCGUGAAGGAUGAAGGUUCUAUGGAUUGUAAACUUAUUUUAUAAAGGAAUAAAGUGAGGCACGUGUGCCUUUUUGUAUGUACUUUAUGAAUAAGGAUCGGCUAACUCCGUGCCAGCAGCCGCGGUAAUACGGAGGAUCCGAGCGUUAUCCGGAUUUAUUGGGUUUAAAGGGUGCGCAGGCGGACACUCAAGUCAGCGGUAAAAUCGUGGGGCCCAACCCCAUCCCGCCGUUGCAACUGG